rnacentral:rRNA from 1 species
UGUCUAGUAUAAGCAAUCUAUACGGUGAAACUGCGAAUGGCUCAUUAAAUCAGUCAUAAUUUAUUUGAUAGUACCAUUCUACUUGGAUAACCGUGGUAAUUCUAGAGCUAAUACAUGCUAAAAACCCCGACUUCGGAAGGGGUGUAUUUAUUAGAUAAAAAACCAAUGCCCUUCGGGGCUCCUUGGUGAUUCAUGAUAACUUAACGAAUCGCAUGGCCUUGUGCCGGCGAUGGUUCAUUCAAAUUUCUGCCCUAUCAACUUUCGAUGGUAGGAUAGUGGCCUACCAUGGUUUCAACGGGUAACGGGGAAUUAGGGUUCUAUUCCGGAGAGGGAGCCUGAGAAACGGCUACCACAUCCAAGGAAGGCAGCAGGCGCGCAAAUUACCCAAUCCCGACACGGGGAGGUAGUGACAAUAAAUACUGAUGCAGAGCUCUUUUGGGUUUUGCAAUUGGAAUGAGUACAAUUUAAAUCCCUUAACGAGGAACAAUUGGAGGGCAAGUCUGGUGCCAGCAGCCGCGGUAAUUCCAGCUCCAAUAGCGUAUAUUAAAGUUGUUGCAGUUAAAAAGCUCGUAGUUGAACCUUGGGCCUGGCUGGCCGGUCCGCCUCACCGCGUGCACUGGUCCGGCCGGGCCUUUCCUUCUGGGGAGCCGCAUGCCCUUCACUGGGUGUGUCGGGGAACCAGGACUUUUACUUUGAAAAAAUUAGAGUGUUCAAAGCAGGCCUAUGCUCGAAUACAUUAGCAUGGAAUAAUAGAAUAGGACGUGUGGUUCUAUUUUGUUGGUUUCUAGGACCGCCGUAAUGAUUAAUAGGGAUAGUCGGGGGCAUCAGUAUUCAAUUGUCAGAGGUGAAAUUCUUGGAUUUAUUGAAGACUAACUACUGCGA